GCCUGGGUUUAUUUCUUCUCCUUUGGGAAUGAAAAAUAUCUGCAGAAAAGGAUUUAUAUCCUGUAUCCUAAACUUUGAAAAAUGAAGUUUUUUUUUUUUUAAUUAACCGAGAUGCUUGAAAUAUGUUGGCUUUAUCAUGAGAUGAUGUUAAAACGCAGGCACAUUUCACAUGGGGCAUAUAUGCAUUUAGUUUAGUCAGUUAUGCUUAGACCUGGCCACCUAGAACCGUCUGAUUCGGU
rnacentral:misc_RNA from 1 species